GCAACACACUCUGCCCCACCACCAACACCAUGCGCACCACCUUGGAGGGGCGCACAGCUGCUGUGGGCCCUCCACCACAACUGCAGGAGCUGCUGAGCAUGCGAGGUGUGUGUGUGUGCGUGUGUGUGUGUGUGUGUGUGUGUGUGUGUGUGUGUGUGUGUGUGUGUGUGUGUGUGUGUGUGUGUGUGUGUGUGUGCGCGUGUG
rnacentral:lncRNA from 1 species